CGCCGCUGUUAGGCUGCGCCCGCUUCUUCAGGGCCCAGUCCCUCGGACCCAUCGCCGCUUCUAGACCCUACUGCGGUCUCGGAUCUUGCCGGGAAAAUGUCUGAUGAAUUUUCGUUGGCAGAUGCGCUACCUGAACACUCCGCUGCCAAAACGUCUGCUGUGAGCAAUACAAAACCUGGCCAACCUCCUCAAGGCUGGCCAGGCUCCAACCUUUGGAAUAAUCCAAGUGCUCCACCUUCGGUGCCAUCUGGACUCCCACCAAGUGCCACACCCUCUACUGUGCCUUUUGGACCAGCACCAACAGGAAUGUAUCCCUCCGUGCCUCCCACCGGACCACCUCCAGGACCCCCAGCAUCCUUUCCUCCUUCCGGACCAUCAUGCCCCCCACCUGGUGGUCCUUAUCCAGCACCAACUGUGCCAGACCCUGGCCCCACAGGGCCAUAUCCUACACCAAAUAUGCCCUUUCCAGAGCUACCUAGACCAUAUGGUGCACCCAUAAAUCCAGCUGCAGCUGGUCCUUUAGGUCCAUGGGGAUCCAUGUCUUCUGGACCUUGGGCACCAGGAAUGGGAGGGCAGUAUCCUACCCCUAAUAUGUCAUAUCCAUCUCCAAGGCCAUAUCCCGCUCCUCCUCCUCCCCAAGCCCCUGGGGCAGCACCACCUGUUCCAUGGGGCACAGUUCCACCAGGAGAUAUCCUGCCCCUACAGGAUCGUAUCCUACACCAGGACUGUAUCCUACUCUCAGUAAUCCUUUUCAAGUGCCUUCGGGACCUUCUGGUGCUCCACCGAUGCCUGGUGGCCCCCAUUCUUACCAUUAAGUUAACAAUGGAUGAAGAAAUGACGUUUUGCUUUUUGAAGUACAUCUAUAUGCACAUGAAUGCAUAUAUAAAAAUUGCUGGUUUCACUAUUAGAGGGCAUUCAUGAAAGCACAACUCUUGCACCUCUCAGAGAAGAUAACUGCCUCUUGUACCUGGAGGUGUAGUACAUCAUAUGUAUACAAUCAGAUAAAAGCAUAGAAGUAAAUCAUUCGGAUGUGAUUUUUAUUUGGUUUUCAUGGAAAGUUAAAGUGAUUAAGUAUAUUGAAUAGCUCUUUGACAGAAUUUGUUUAAACUAUGAAACUACACACUUAAAAAUCUAAGAUGAUGUGUGGAUUAUUGUUAGAAUCUGCGACUCAUUGGCAAUUUAUUUCAAGUAUUUUUCUAUAAUCACUUCCCCUCCAAAUAAAUACACUUUGAGAAUAACCCCUCAUAUCUAAACAAAUGAUGCCUCUCAACAUUUUGAGCUGCUCUGUUGGAUAAAUAAAUCUGGUCCUCUUGAGGUUAUAUUUUGGAUAUACAUUUUUAAACUGUCAGUAAUUAUUGUCAGAUGUGAAGUUUAGUAGACAGCCAGUGUUCAUUUUUAUCCUUGAGCUUUUAAUAAAACUUCCUUGUUUGUUUUUAGUCAUAUGGGCCAUACAGCACUAAAAUGUGCUCUUUAUGGAAACUUUUUUCUUUUUAAUCCAGGCCAACAUGUAUGUAAAUUAAAUUUUUAUAUAAUUGAUUAUCUCUUUGUACUACUUGAGAUUUGAUUAUGAGAUGUGCAUAUUGCUUUGGAAAAAGCUCGAGAAAGGAAAUAAUUCUCUCCUUUGUUUUGAACCUCAAGCUAGAGAAACCCUAGGCAUUGCUUAAUUGCAACAAGUAGUUUUCUUUCCCACAAAAAAACUGAGGCAGCUCUUCUGCCCAGGGCAUUCCCUGCAGCCACCCCCAACCCAGUUGCCCUUAGUUCUUUAGAAGGAGCACAGCCCUUGAUUCCUCCCUGAUGUGGUAAACUGGCACACUCUAAAGGUG